rnacentral:rRNA from 1 species
AUUGAACGCUGUCGGCAGGCCUAACACAUUCAAGUCGAACGAGUGGCGGACGGGUGAGUAAUGUCUGGGAAACUGCCUGAUGGAGGGGGAUAACUACUGGAAACGGUAGCUAAUACCGCAUCCCAUCGGAUGUGCCCAGAUGGGAUUAGCUAGUAGGUGGGGUAAAGGCUCACAUAGGCGGCGAUCCCUAGCUGGUCUGAGAGGAUGACCAGCCACACUGGAACUGAGACACGGUCCAGACGCCUACGGGAGGCAGCAGUGGGUAAUAUUGCACAAUGGGCGCAAGCCUGAGGCAGCCAUGCCGCGUGUAUGAAGAAGGCAUUCGGGUUGUAAAGUACUUUCAGCGGGGAGGCGUUACCCGCAGAAGAAGCACCGGAUAACUCCGUGCCAGCAGCCGCGGUAAUAC